AAAGACAAGACGAGAUGUUAUUAGACUGCAGACGUUGACAGACUCUUCACAACUAUGUUAGCUGGAAAGCCUGCUAAUGCUAAUAUUAAAUCCAACGCUGUCUGUAGCUUAAGAAGCCACUGAGUGUAAUUGUAUUGAGGGACGGUUUUGAGAUACUGGAUCUUUAUGUAUACUUUUUAGAGUCGCAUGAAUGUUGGGAGGCAACACCCUGCAGUGAAG